rnacentral:rRNA from 1 species
GAUGAACGCUGGCGGCGUGCCUAAUACAUGCAAGUCGAGCGAACAGACGAGGAGCUUGCUCCUCUGACGUUAGCGGCGGACGGGUGAGUAACACGUGGAUAACCUACCUAUAAGACUGGGAUAACUUCGGGAAACCGGAGCUAAUACCGGAUAAUAUGUUGAACCGCAUGGUUCAACAGUGAAAGACGGUUUUGCUGUCACUUAUAGAUGGAUCCGCGUCGCAUUAGCUAGUUGGUAAGGUAACGGCUUACCAAGGCAACGAUGCGUAGCCGACCUGAGAGGGUGAUCGGCCACACUGGAACUGAGACACGGUCCAGACUCCUACGGGAGGCAGCAGUAGGGAAUCUUCCGCAAUGGGCGAAAGCCUGACGGAGCAACGCCGCGUGAGUGAAGAAGGUCUUCGGAUCGUAAAACUCUGUUAUUAGGGAAGAACAAAUGUGUAAGUAACUAUGCACGUCUUGACGGUACCUAAUCAGAAAGCCACGGCUAACUACGUG